UGGGGAAUCUUGCACAAUGGGCGAAAGCCUGAUGCAGCGACGCCGCGUGUGUGAUGAAGGUCUUCGGAUCGUAAAGCACUUUCGGCCGGGAAGAAAAACCCUGUGGCUAAUAUCCACGGGGUGUGACGGUACCGGCAGAAGAAGCAACGGCUAACUCUGUGCCAGCAGCCGCGGUAAUACAGAGGUUGCGAGCGUUGUUCGGAAUUAUUGGGCGUAAAGCGCGUGUAGGCGGGAUAGCAAGUCGGGUGUGAAAGCCCUCGGCUCAACCGAGGAAGUGCGCCCGAAACUACUGUUCUUGAGUGCCGGAGAGGGUGGCGGAAUUCCCGGUGUAGAGGUGAAAUUCGUAGAUAUCGGGAGGAACACCAGUGGCGAAGGCGGCCACCUGGACGGACACUGACGCUGAGACGCGAAAGCGUGGGGAGCAAACAG
rnacentral:rRNA from 1 species